rnacentral:piRNA from 1 species
UCCUCUAGGUGACAGGAUAAAGUGUGAA